rnacentral:rRNA from 1 species
UACAGAGGGUGCGAGCGUUGUCCGGAAUCACUGGGCGUAAAGGGCGCGUAGGUGGCGGCCCAAGUCCAUGGUGAAAGCUCGAUGCUCAACAUCGAGUCGGCCACGGAUACUGGGUUGCUCGAGCACUGUAGGGGCAGAUGGAAUUCCGGGUGUAGCGGUGGAAUGCGUAGAUAUCGAGAGGAACACUAAGGGCGAAGGCAAGACUCUGGACAAGUGCUGACGCUCAUGCACGAAGGCUAGGGUAGCGAACGGGG